UACCUCUGUAGAGGUGCGAACAUUAUAAGUAUUUUUUCCGAGUGGAUAACGUUGAAGAAAAAAGAAAGGAGUGUCCGCCGAAAUCAAUUAAAAGUCAUUUUAAUUGGUUGGUAGCGUAUUCGAAAGAUGCGUUACUGUCAUAGUUAUGAACUAUGGAGUGCUACUGAUAGG
rnacentral:ncRNA from 2 species